CGCCUUGCCAGCCCGCUCAGAACUUAAAGGAAUUGACGGGGCCGCACAAGCGUGGAGCAUGUGGUUUAAUUCGAUGAUACGCGAGGAACCUUACCUGGGCUCAAAUGUAUGUUGACGUAUUCUGAAAGGGAUACUUCUUCGGACAAUAUACAAGGUGCUGCAUGGUUGUCGUCAGCUCGUGCCGUGAGGUGUCGGGUUAAGUCCCAUAACGGGCGCAACCCCUAUCAUUAGUUGCCAUCAGGUCAAGCUGGGGACUCUAAUGAAACUGCCUACGCAAGUAGUGAGGAAGGUGGGGAUGACGUCAAAUCAGCACGGCCCUUACGUCCAGGGCUACACACGUGCUACAAUGGCCGGUACAAAGGGCAGCUACCUGGUGACAGGAUGCUAAUCUCAAAAGCCGGUCUCAGUUCGGAUCGGAGUCUGCAACCCGACUCCGUGAAGCUGGAAUCGCUAGUAAUCGCGCAUCAGCCAUGGCGCGGUGAAUACGUUCCCGGGCCUU
rnacentral:rRNA from 1 species